rnacentral:rRNA from 1 species
GACGAACGCUGGCGGCGUGCUUAACACAUGCAAGUCGAGCGGUAAGGCCCUUUCGGGGGUACACGAGCGGCGAACGGGUGAGUAACACGUGGGUGACCUGCCCUCAGCUCUGGGAUAAGCCUGGGAAACUGGGUCUAAUACCGGAUAUGACUCCAUGACGCAUGUUGUGGGGUGGAAAGCCUUGUGCGGCUGAGGAUGGGCCCGCGGCCUAUCAGCUUGUUGGUGGGGUGANGGCCUACCAAGGCGACGACGGAUAGGGGACCUGAGAGGGUCGGCCCCCACAUG